CGUUCCCGGGCCUUGUACACACCGCCCGUCACACCAUGGGAGUUGGUUUUACCCGAAGCCGGCUUAGCGAACCCCGCAAGGGGGCGCGGCCGACCACGGUAAGGUCAGCGACUGGGGUG
rnacentral:rRNA from 1 species